rnacentral:rRNA from 1 species
CACGUAGGGUGCGAGCGUUGUCCGGAAUUAUUGGGCGUAAAGAGUUCGUAGGCGGUGUGUCGCGUCGGCCGUGAAAACCUGCAGCUUAACUGUGGGCGUGCGGUCGAUACGGGCAUCACUGGAGUUCGGCAGGGGAGACUGGAAUUCCUGGUGUAGCGGUGAAAUGCGCAGAUAUCAGGAGGAACACCGGUGGCGAAGGCGGGUCUCUGGGCCGAUACUGACGCUGAGGAGCGAAAGCGUGGGGAGCGAACAGG